GGGGUUGUAACUCAGCGGUGGAGUGCUCACCUAGCACGUGUGAGGCCGGGGUUCGAUCCUCAGCACCACA
rnacentral:tRNA from 1 species